UCCUCUCGUUUCUUCUUCUUCCAUUUUCUUUGUUGCUGACGAUUGUGAGCAAGACUUGAGAAUUCUGUUGAGAGAAUCAAUCGAAGAGGAAGAACUGAUGCAUUAGAAGUUGUUACUGGUGUUGACGAAGAGUUGAUGGUGGUAUUGAUGUAUUGUUUAGCAGAUUUAGGGUUUCUCAGAGAGAUGAUUUAAAGUUCGGAAUUAGAAAUGGAUUCACGGGAUCUUGCUAGAACUGAAGAUGGGGUUUGCGAGUUUUAGUUAUGGAAUUGAAGAUGAAAUCAGAUAUUUGAGUGAUCGAUUAAUUAGGGUUGCUGUGAGAUGAAUUUGGAAUUGAGAUUAAGAGAAUAAGAGUUGAAUCGAGAGUAUUUGAUGAUUUAAGAAGAAUCAGAUGGAAUCAACGAGUGGGUUUUGUUUGAAUUGAAGUUACAGAUAGAUGAUAGAAGAGAAAUUGAAUUAUAAGUUAUGGUUUGUAUUUGUAAGAUGAACUCAGAGAAGCUGAAGAAGAUGAAAUCGGCAGUUUAGGGUUUUGAUGAAAUUAUGGAUGGAGAUCAAACAAAGGGUGAAUCAUCUAAUUCAGAUUGGGAUUUUGGCUAAGGUAAUAAUUCUUUCAAUUUCCAAGUAAAGGAGUUCAUAAUCGAGGUUGGAUGAUUAUUAUUGUUAAGAAGUUUGUGUUAUGAGUUGAAUACAGAAUCUGUUAGAUGAUUGCUAUGUUAGCGGCAUUUGGUAUUUGUGAAGAAAGUAAGUUUAGAAUUGGAAUUGAAUUGUGAUUAUUGGUGGAAGUUGUGGAGUUGCAGCUGAGAUAGUAGUGGGAGAUAGAGAAUGGAGAUAAUGUUUGUUUGGAUUGAUUAUGGUUGUAACUGAGUAGUGUUGAGAAGAAUUGGAUUUGUGUUUGCUGUAAUUGACAGGGAGAAGGAAAAGUGUGUUAAACUGAUAUUUCAGUUGAAGUUAGUUUUACAGGUUGGGACUCAUAUUGAUUGUACAUGGUUAUUGGUGUUGAAAUAAGAAGUGAGUUAGGGAUUGCAGUGGUGAUAAAAUUGAGAUUGAACAUGAAUGUGAUGAACUACAGAUUCAAGGCCAAGAAGUGUUGAGUUUUCUGGAGUAAACUGGUGAUGAAAUGAUUAGUGGUGUAUAAUUGUGGAAUUUGAAUUACAGUUGGUGGUGAUGUAGUCGUGGUGAGGUUAUACUGGGGGUUUAUGGAAGGGGUUCAGAUGAAUGUUUUACAGUAAAGAUUGAAUGCAACUGAUGUUGCGUGUGGUAAUGGGUUUAUUUGUGUUGAGUUGGAAUUUCAGUUAGGAGUGAAGUGUAAUCAAAAGGGAGUUGCAGAUGAGAGUUGAGUAUUGUUUGGGUUGAGGCAUUUUGGGAUAUUGCAGUUACUGCACAUGUAGAUAUAUAGGAUGAAGUUGUUUGUAAUGUUGAUGUGGCAAUGGCCUUUGAGAAAGCCUGCAAUUUCAAACCAAGUUAGUCUAUUAACAACGAUCGAUUCAAAUGAUGAACUAGUGGAUUGUGGAUCUCGAGGUAGGCGUGGCUUGUCAUCAAAAGAGUUUCAGAGACAGAUCAGAGUUGCGCAGCGAAAGCUUCGAGGAGUUGAGUCAGUUUGUUAGAUUACUUAUGCUAUGUUUCUUAUGUUGUAUAUUCUCUUUGGAAACAAAAUGACUAUUGUACAUGUAUUACUUGAGAGACGUUCUUUUAUAUA